AUUUUGAUUGCUGCCAGCAACUGGAGCUCAUGGCUGUCUGGGAAGAAACUGAAUUUGAAAAGGUCUCUUAAAAGGGCUUGCAGGGAGCCAAGGGGAAUAAGUCUGGGAACCUGCAGCUGACAGGCGACAGCAACAUGAUUUCAACACGGAUGGGAGAAAGAGGCCCCCAGGUGUAAUGGGGAAGAACAAGAAACUACUGGAAAUUCUGCCCUGGAAGAAUCUGAUGUGAAACAAGAAUAUCCGGCCCUUUCUUUCUCUUUCUGUGAGUCCAGUGGACACACAGCGUUUGGAGCACAGGAGGAUGGAUGGGAAGAUGAGGAAACUGAGGCACAGAGCUAUAGAACCUCGGCAGAAGUCAGAGCUUAUGUUGACAAGAUCAUUUCCAACCCAACCAUCUCG
rnacentral:lncRNA from 1 species